rnacentral:tRNA from 1 species
GGGCAGAUACCCAAGUGGCCAACGGGGUCUGACUGUAAAUCAGAUGGCGUACGCCUUCGGGGGUUCGAAUCCCUCUCUGCCCA